UCUUGUGGUUCGUGCCACCCUGAACACACCUGAUCUCGUCUGAUCUCUGAAGCUAAGCAGGGCUGGGCCUGGUUAGUACUUGGAUGGGAGACCUCCAUAAAUCUUGACGGCCUUUCAGGGC
rfam:Ailuropoda melanoleuca scaffold64_41, whole genome shotgun sequence.